CCUACGGGUGGCAGCAGUGGGGAAUAUUGGACAAUGGGGGCAACCCUGAUCCAGCCAUGCCGCGUGUGUGAAGAAGGCCCUCGGGUUGUAAAGCACUUUCAGUGAGGAAGAACGCCUGGUGGUUAAUACCCAUCAGGAAAGACAUCACUCACAGAAGAAGCACCGGCUAACUCCGUGCCAGCAGCCGCGGUAAUACGGAGGGUGCGAGCGUUAAUCGGAAUUACUGGGCGUAAAGCGCGCGUAGGUGGCUUGAUAAGCCGGUUGUGAAAGCCCCGGGCUCAACCUGGGAACGGCAUUCGGAACUGUCAAGCUAGAGUGCAGGAGAGGAAGGUAGAAUUCCCGGUGUAGCGGUGAAAUGCGUAGAGAUCGGGAGGAAUACCAGUGGCGAAGGCGGCCUUCUGGACUGACACUGACACUGAGGUGCGAAAGCGUGGGUAGCAAACAGGAUUAGAUACCCUAGUAGUC
rnacentral:rRNA from 1 species